UUGCACUAUUUUUCUUUAAUUUGUCCUCCUUUUGUUCAUUUGAAUCAAUUGAUAUCUAAACCAGAAAGUACCUUUCCGAAGUUUCAAUGUAAAAGCCUUAAGAGGAAACCAAAUACUUAGAUGUACCUGCUAGCAUUUGGCCUUAAUUUAUGACCGAAUCAUUCUUAUAAGGGCAUCUCUAGGGGGAUGGCCCAAAUGGACAAAUGUGAUCCGUUUGUGUCCGCACGGACAAAGAGCUAAAAGCAGCACGGCACCCCCAAACUGACCACUGUCAUUUGUUUGGCCAGGACUGAAUCAUUUGCAAACCAAAUUGGUGCCCGUCCGUUUGGGUGAUCAGCCUGGCCCAUUGUCAGUCAAAUUACUCAAUGUCUCUCCCACGUACCGUAACUUUGCUUCUCUAUCACCCCCUGACUCAACACACCACCACUGAACGUCUUUGUCCACCACACCGAUGCAGCCUGUCACAUUUCUCAUGGAAUAGGCCACUGGGGCUGCGCAUGCUGGUCUGCUCUACCUUGCGUCAGGACAUGCUCCUUCUCCACGCCGCAGGCAAGUUGUGUGGGUCUCCGCCACGAUAACAGUGUGCUCCUAUUUAAUGGGCUUGUUCAGGCUCCCUGACCACACCUUUGCUUUUGAGGAGGAAGGAGAGAUAGACCCGUUGGUCUGAUGCAGCGCACAUGGUUCUGUAUGGUGCUCUCGCGGACAUUACUCCGUGCCGUGGAGCUGCUGGUGUCGUCGUCCUCACAUGCACUUGCUGGCAUCACCAUCAAGUAUGGUGUCAAGAUAUCUGACAUCAAGAGGCAGAUGUGGUCCGUUGUUUUUGUCGUUGUCAAGGGCACUAUCUACUGAGAUAUUAGGUAUGGUCUGCUCUUGUCAUGUUAUAUUCCUUCAUCAGUCGCUCACACUUACUCAUAGCCACCCCCAGAUGAUUGAAUCUCUAUGGCUUCGUGUGUCCAUUAGAGGACUUGGGCGUAGGUGAGGCAUAGAAUGGGAGGAUGUGUUCGCUAAAUAUAGUCAGGUCAGGUAAGGCAUGUUUCUGUCAUGCUUCUCUUUUUCAUCUGGAUAGGAAGAUUUACUUAUGUACAUUUAAACGGUAACUCUUGUUUCUUUUGUUAAACCAAGAGAAAUAUGGACCAUGAAGGUUUGGUUACAUUGCCUAAUUUUGUACUCAAUUGCAUUCUAAAGUGCAGCAAAUAGUUUAUUCUUUGUAUGCUAUUGCUGUUCUUUACUACUGCCAUUUGAAGAUUUGGAGCUCACAGUGCAAGAAGUAUCUUUUGUUAUAGAAGACGUUCAUAUGAUUUCCUUCCAUAUUGCUUUAUGAAUUUACCUAUGUAUAAUGAAUCUCCUUGAGUUAUGUCUCAAGAUAUAUAAUAUUCUGUUUCAGUCAAGAUCUGAAGGAUGCCGAGUUCUAUCUGGAGAAACCAAAACUAUUGCUAAAACCUUAUCAAAGGAGCAUCAUGAUUCGUCAAGGCUGUGAAUUUAGA